rnacentral:ncRNA from 1 species
CUCAACACCAAUGUUGAGACUUAUGCGGAUAACCACCGCGUACCAAGUAGAACUUGGAUUGGACUCCUAAAAAGGAGAAAACAAAUG